rnacentral:pre_miRNA from 1 species
CAACUACUCCCUCUGUCUCAAAUUUCUUGUCUUAGAUUUGUCUAGAUACGGAUGUAUCUAAUACUAAAAUGUGACUUGAUACAUCCGUAUCUAGACAAAUCUAAGACAAGAAUUUUGGGACGGAGGGAGUACUNA